AGGGCGGAUGUUCCAUCAAUUUUAAUGCAAAUACGCGGAACAGCUCAUUUUUCUGCUAUUUAAGUUCUUUGGUUGGUAGUAGUAGUAAGUUGGCGUAGGUCUAGUGUCUACACGCUUUCCUACAAUUAUUAUAAACAUUAAAAAAAGGUAACCAAUAAUGUUAAUCCAGCUCUUUGGAUCUCUAUGAAAACAACCUUGGCAACCAACGUUUAUGUAUGUAUGUAUGCGCAUGUCCUGUCAAUCGUGUCUUCUGAGUGUUGUUGGUGGCUCUCAACGUGCUUUUGCUGUAAAUUCAAGAGAUAUUUCUAGUAAUUUACCUUCUAUUAUUCGUCUGAUAAGAUAAAAAAAAAUCCAUCAAGACAAUAGCUGUCAGCUAUGUGUUACAAAACUGAUAGUUGAUUUCGGAGUGAAAUUUGAAAUCGAUUAUUAUUAAACUACAGCGUAUUAUUCGUCGACGCUUGCACGUAAACAAAAUACGUUGGUAUCCUGCAAUUUAUUAACUUUUAUCUGGCACCAAGGACACGCAACGGUACACUCUUCCAUCAUUUGUUUUUCUUAUAAUACGAAUACCAUGCCUCGAAGAAACACGGUAACUAAUAGUGUCGAUAAAGACUUUCAACAGCUCGGUGUUACCAAAAACAUCGUGAAUUCAUACGGAAAUUUCCUGCUAAAUAGACGGUGGUUGGCUACCGUUGUGAUAAUCGUCUUGAUUGUGUUCACGUUAACGCAUUCCGUACGUGCUGUCUUCUUAUCUGUCGUUGGAAUAUGCCUUGCCGCUUUGACCAUCUGUGUCGUGUACUAUAUAGCCGUAGACAUCUUCAUUCGAGUUUGCCUUACAAUCAAGUCCAUGAUAUUUUCAUAAGUGUACAUAGUCUGUUUAUUAGGCGUAUAUCAACGUGAGAGUCAACGAAUAACAUUUGUCAAGUAACAAAUUUACCAAAGAAGCUCUUUAAAGCAACAUUCGUACCUUUUUGUCACUCAGUGGACAUUUAUAGAAUUGAAGCUAUUUUGGCGCUAUUUAUAUGUUGAGAUUAGCAAAUAAUGAAAUCGCUCAACCAAAGUUAUUUUGACGAAUAUUUUUUUUAUUUUUUUCUACAAACAAUGAUAUUUAUGUGUAGGCCUAGGCCUAUAGGUGGAAGAUAUAAACAAUUAUUUACAAAGAUUAUGUACGUCUACAAUACUUUGCCAUAUAUGUAAUAUCAUUGGCUCUUUCAUUAAUAUAAUAGUUGACGUAAUGAUUAAUUUCGUUCAUUUUAUUAAUCCUUCCUAUGCUUGGUCAAAAUUCAUCCAGAAAUUACCAUCUUGUAUUAAAUUGGCCUACUUAUUGCUAUGCCGUGACUAAGUAAAAGAAAUGUAUAAUGCUUAAGAAUGAGGUGCCCACAACAACUCAAUUUACGUUUUACUGAGGUAGAUUGUUCAUUUCCUAUGGUUCCCUUUCCCACAUCUUCCUACAAUCCAAUCGUGAUCGAAUAAUACGUUAAUAUUUCCGUUAGGAACAACGUGGUUCGAAUGCAAACCGAGGUACUAUAAUACAUUGACCUUGAGCACCGAUUUAAGACACUGGUGAGUGCGGGCGUUUGUUGUGCAAAAUGAGUACUGUAAUACAUUGCCCUUGCGCACCGAAUUAAUGGGCCAAACGCAAAAUGCCUGACGCAAACACAAGAAAUAUGUACGCAAAAUUCUUGACGCAACUUGACACAAAAGGCAUCUGUUUUGCUAAUGUCUUUUCUUUUCCACAUUGUGAAAAAGUUUAGCUCCGUCACACUUAUGUACGUCA
rnacentral:misc_RNA from 1 species